UGAGGAAUAUUGGGCAAUGCCCGCAAGGGUGACCCAGCAACGCCGCGUGGAGGAUGAAUGUCGUAAGAUUGUAAACUCCUGUUAGAGGGGAAGAAUAGUACCGGUUGGACCGGUAUAUGACUGUACCCUCAGAGAAAGCCCCGGCUAACUACGUGCCAGCAGCCGCGGUAAUACGUAGGGGGCAAGCGUUGUCCGGAUUUACUGGGUGUAAAGGGCGCGCAGGCGGGAUAAAAAGUCAGUGGUGAAAUCCUACAGCUUAACUGUAGAACUGCCUUUGAUACUAUUUGUCUUGAAUAUUGCGGAGGUAAGCGGAAUAUGUCAUGUAGCGGUGAAAUGCUUAGAUAUGACAUAGAACACCAAUUGCGAAGGCAGCUUACUACACAAUCAUUGACACUGAGGCACGAAAGCGUGGGGAGCAAACA
rnacentral:rRNA from 1 species